UAGGGAAUCUUCCGCAAUGGACGCAAGUCUGACGGAGCAACGCCGCGUGAGUGAAGAAGGUUUUCGGUUCGUAAAACUCUGUUGUUAGGGAAGAAAAAAUGUAUAGUAACUAUAUACAAAAGAGACGGUACCUAACCAGAAAGCCACGGCUAACUACGUGCCAGCAGCCGCGGUAAUACGUAGGUGGCAAGCGUUGUCCGGAAUUAUUGGGCGUAAAGCGCGCGCAGGUGGUUUAGAAAGUCUGAUGUGAAAGCCCACGGCUCAACCGUGGAGGGUCAUUGGAAACUAAUAAACUUGAGUGCAGGAGAGAAAAGUGGAAUUCCUAGUGUAGCGGUGAAAUGCGUAGAGAUUAGGAGGAACACCGGUGGCGAAAGCGGCUUUUUGGCCUGCAACUGACACUGAGGCGCGAAAGCGUGGGGAGCAAACAGG
rnacentral:rRNA from 1 species